AGCCGUGGUGGCCAGGCCAGGGGAAGAAGGGCCAGCCCCGUUUCUGCCCCUGAUUGGGUCUUUUGCCCUUAGCUGGUCAGUGGAGGCCAGCCCGGGGUGGCUGAUUUUUGUUUUAUUUUGUUUGUGGAGGUCAGAGUGGAGAAGGGGUAGGAAACGCUUGGCGCUGUCUCUGCCGCCCCAUUAAAUGAUGAGCACGGACUUAGUUAAGUACUUGUCCACCACUAUUUGCCGUAUCGUGUUCCCCCAGGGAGGAAUGAGUCUGACUUUGCUCACUCGGUGUUGUCUAGACUAGGGGAAACAGGAGUACCCCAGGAAGCAAAUGGGUAAUUGACAUGCCAGUGCUAAGAUCAAAAGCUACGGCAAGCCCAAGGGUGGAGUUCAGAGAAGGCAAGAGGCCGAGUGCAAAGCCGCCUGCGUGCCGGGCGGGAAGGUCGGCCGCCGCUCAGGGACCCUGGAGGGUCCGAGAAUGACGCGCGGCCGGCAGGCGGGCGGGGCGGCGGCAGCGCUGGGCUGGGGGCGCCGCCGGGCCCUGGCGCAGCGCCCGGAACACCCCGUGCCGGAAGCGCCAUGUGACCGUGACUGCGCAGAAGCCGUGAGCGCCGCGAAACAAAGGGCGUCUCUAAGGCCAUCUGGCGCUCAGGAUGGCACGGAGGGCCGGACCUCCUACCCCCCCGGCCGGGCCCCCGGACUCUGGCGGGCAGGGAGGCCCCGGAUCGCGCCCAGGCCCUGGCGGGAGCGCGGGUAGAUGGCAGAGGAGUGCCCCGGGGCACCGUGAGAUGCAAGUGCGAUAUCGGGGCCAAGGUCGUGGGCGUUGGCGGUUUUCUCCGUCACUGCCGUCACUGCCGGCUCUGACAGAUUACCCGCUCCUUAAUGUCUGUAACAGAGGCGGCGAUAAUUGUCCCUACGCAAUUAUCCUAGGGGGAGGAGGCUUAGGUAAGGCGCUCUCUGGAAAGUGGGGAGGACAGUGCAGGCGUCCCCUGGUGGGGAGGGCCAUAGCGCCUCUCCCCCAGACGAACACACACGGGAAUUCGGGUCAGUGACUGCCACUUUCAAGUCCCAGCAGGGAUGUAGUUUCUGGCCAGGCCACCUGGAAGAGGAGCAGCAUGUGGCAGGUGGCACAGGGCCAGGUCAUCUCACCGUUGGUGAGCCCUGCAUCGGGCUCUGCCCUGACAGCCUGGCAUCUCGUAGUGGGCUUGGGAUUCUCUCUCCCUCUCUCUCUGCUGCUCCAAUUGACCCCAGAUGUCUCCUUUGUUUAGUUUGCAAGUCUUGUUGAAGAGACAGAGGGAUGUUGGGAACAGAAGGACUUCAGGACAGUGGUUUCCAAAUCUGGUCCUCAGAACACCCAUGGACCAUGAUGAUGACAUCACCAGUUGGUGACAAAAAAGGAGAAAAACGCAAUUCCCAGAAUGAGCUCUUCCCAAAGCAAAAUUAUUCCAUUUAAAGGACCAUCUUUUAAAGGGAAAUCAAGUUCUUCCUCCUUUUUUGGUAUUAAAUUAUACUUUCUUUUAGGUCACUUGAUUUUGCUAGGCCCCAUCUUUAAAAUGGAAUAGGAGAAAGGAACGCCUGGGUGGCUCAGUCAGCUAAGCGUCCGGCUUCGGCCCAGGUCAUGAUCUCACGGUUUGUGAGUUCAAACCCUGCAUCAGUCUCUCUGCUGUCAGCACAGAGCCCAUUUGGAUCCUCUGUACCCCCCCUCUCUGCCCCUUCCCCAGCCAUGCAUGCGCGCUCUCCUAUCUCUCUCAAAAAAAUUAAACAAUUAAUGAAGUAAAAUGGAAUAGGAAAGGCAGGGGAAAAUAAAAUAAAAUGCAAUAGGAGGGGCAGGGUGCUUGGCUUAAGUAACCUCCAAGGGCCUUUCCAACCUCGAUAUCUUCAGGGCCUGGGGCUAAUUGCGUGCUGCCUGGGACUGUGUGUCUUUCACAGCCUGGCCUACCUCCUUCUAUGCUCUCUACUUCUCUACCCCUCCAAUCCCCUCCAGUCCUCCCUGCUCAGCCUCACAAGGUUUGCCCUCUCAGCUGAGAUCUCUUACGCGCUCCUUGCGGAGAAGCACCCCCUCCACAGAGCGUUUUGGAUUAAAUGAAAACCCAGGAGAUAUAGCUUAUAAAAGGCAAAUGUAGGUUUGGAAUAGUCUAAUGUUUGUCUUGAGAUAAUGAGUGGAUCAGCCCAGUCUCCAUUAAAGCCUGGAAGUUAGGGCAGAGGGUCUGAGACCAGGAGCGAAAACCCAAGAACAAACACUGAGGCAGGGGCUGCAUGGAGGGGAGAGCAUUGAAAGAGAAAGUUCUAGCAGAAGAAUGCUGUCAUGGACUCCUACAGCACCUGAGCUGGGGAACCAUCUUAUCCAUCUUGUCCUGUCUCCUCACGUUGCAGAUGAGGAAAUUAAGGCCCAGGAAGGGGACAGGAGUCUGUGAUUGGUUGGGGGUGGGGGUGUGUACAUUUUUUCUCUAGCAGCACAAGUCUGGGUAAGGCCUGGACAUGGGGACCAGCUGAGGAAGACUUGGAAACUGAGUCCAGGAGAAGCUGAAAGCACCAGGUUAGGGCUGACCCAGGCCUCCCAUGAACCCUUGUGUCCCUGCCGCCCCGUCUGCCUUCUCUGCUUUAGCCCUCCAGGGUCUCCUUUCCUUUGCCCAUUGCUGUCAACUCAGCUCUCAGGACAUCACAGAUAGCAGGCCCGGUGUGCUUGGAGCAGGAGGACACUGGCAAGAGAGAGCACUGGCAGUAGAGUGAGGAGGACUGAUGGGUGCCUUCCAGAAUCCCCAGAAACUCUACAUGCCCCUUUGAGAAGCUCCAGGCAGAAGGGAGCUGAUAUGGCACUUAACACUGAGAACAUGCACUGUUGUGCCCCAGGAGGAGUCAGGGACACAGGAGCUGUGGGGCAGUUCUCACAGAUUCUAUAAAUCCCACACACUGGAGAGAAUAACAGAAGGGGAAUCCCUCUGUGAACCACCUGUCACAUUCAACCCUAAGGUGAAUCAUUAAUAAAUCAAGGGUGAGAUGAAAGGCUACAAUGAAAGUCUCCAUGAUACACAUCUGGCCCACAUCUGUAGCACCUGCUGCUAUUGGUAGAGGGUCAUUUUUAGUGGUAAAGUGGUGAUAUCAGGGGGCACCUGGGUGGCUCAGUCAGUUGAGCAUCUGACUUCGGCUCAGGUCAUGAUCUCUUGGUUUGUGAGUUCGAGCCCUGCAUUGGGCUCUGUGCUGACAGUUUGGAGCCUGGAGCCUGCUUUGGAUUCUCUGUCUCCCUCUCUCUCUGCUCCUCCCCUGCUCACGCUCUGUCUCUCUCUCAAAAAUAAAGACGAAAAAAAAUUUUUUUAAGUGGUGAUAUCAGGGGCCAGAGAGGUACCAGCUCCAAAGUCCCCACAUUUACCUGGGAGAUACCGCCAACUUUAGGAAGGCUUCCAGCAAGGAGACCUUGGGCAGGCUGGGUGACCUCCCAGGGCCCUCAGCUGUGCCUGUCCUUGAUCACACAGGCCAUAUGCUGCCCGGGAAGCUGGGAAUUGGGGCAGCUGGCUGACCUGGAAAUGGAGAGUCUGCGGAGCCCCGGGCUUGCCAGCUCCUCCUUGCCACCCUCUCCCCGAGAGCAAGAAGCAAGGCUAGGAGGCUCCUGGGAGCCUCCUGCCUAAUUCCCAGGGCCUGGCAGCCAGCUCUGCAGCUGAUGCAAGGCCAGAGGUGGGUGAGCUCAGCCUGCCUCCAGGACAUGGAGCUUCUUGUACCCCUCCGCACUCUAGAAAACAUACCCAUUCACUCCCUUCUGCCUUGGCCUACUAGGUCUGUAGUUCCAUUCCUUCUGGAAGCAGAGCAGGGUCACCUGAAGAUCUGGGAGCAGUUGCUGCAUGGAGCUGGGGUAGCGCUGAGCAUUUCUGAGUCAGUCCAGCUCCCCUGCAAGGGCAGCCUGUGAACAGAGCUGAGCCCUAGAGCCCCUCUCCCAGGGGACCUGUUCAAAGAGGGCCUGGGCACCUGUUGGCCUUCAGGUUCUGUCAAACACUGGCCCAAUUGCCCUCCUCGGGGAGGUCAGACCCUCUUAUCCUGUUAGAGGGUAGACUUACCCCCACCGGCCCUCACCCUCACUUUCGAUGCCCAGGCUGAAGGUAGGAAUGCCAAGGCCACCCUCCUGAGUCAUUAUCAGCUCAAGACGAAGAUUCAUUCAGCAUCAGUUUACUAAGAGCUCAGUGAUAUAACAGGGCGUGUAAUAACAACACGGAUAAUGUGUGUCACAUUUUACAAAGUGCUUUCAUGAUUAAUUAGUGCUCCAAGGGAUGGUGCCGUGAUGCAGGGAAGCCCCAGACGAAGCAGCUAAGGCCCAGAGAGUUCUGGCAGAACCAGGAGUCACAUCCACAGGGUCUUCCCGUGUCCUCACGCUGCCUUCAUUCUGACCCCCAGGCACACAUCUGAGCAACAGGCAGCCUUCCGCAAGCAGACUGGGUCACUGGGACCCUGCCGAGGCCCACGAACUUUUCUCAGGGGCGCCGGGGAUCCGGUGGAGGAGGCUGGGAGGACAAGUUGUGGAUUUGGGGGGCGGGGUACACCGGGAGCCAUGCCUGUCUGAGAAGGCCUGGAGACAUUCUGGGAGCACAGAGAUGAGAGGAGGGUGCUCGGAGCAUUCACGUGGCAGCCCCUGUGUGUCAGCUGCUCCCACAGACCAAGGCUCACGGGCCACACCAACCUCAGGCUGCCACCAGCUGGGUUGGGGUCGCUGCCUGGGGGUUGAAGCAGGCUUCAGGACCGGCCCCUGCAUUCUGGCUCAGGACCCGUGAGAGUGGCCACUGCUGGCCUCCCUGUCCAUGCCAGGGUCAAACGAGGCCUUCCUUGUCAUCUGCCACCAUGCUAUUUGGGCCUGACCUUUGCCCUCAGCCGUGCCUCAGCCAUAUGCACAUCCUCAUGACCCUUGCCCACCUUACUAGCACUGCUUGUCACUGACGAAACUUGUGAGGCUGCUGAGCUCAGGCCCCCCGGGCUUGCAGGCCAGUGAGCACACGGUGCCCUGCGCCAGAGGGGACGGCCUGUGCCGACUGCGCCCCCCCAACCCCGACUCCACCAGGCUCCCAGGCCUGGUGGAAAGCUCUGUGCCAGAGCUGGAGGCAAAGAGAGAGGCAGGUGUGCCCUUCUCAUUGGAAGGACGCGGACAUGAGACACCUGGGUCCAGCCGCCACACCGGGCCCAGCCUGCAGGGCACUCCAAGCCCUUCGGUCUGCUCUCAUCUCCCUUCACCGGCCCCUCAUGCUCAGAAAAAGGGUAUCUGAGGGAGGAAACCCAAUGCAAAGCCAGCUCCUGGCUCUGUCCCAACCUCAAACC